rnacentral:rRNA from 1 species
GAAGGCAGCUUGCUGGACUGUAACUGACGNUGAGGCACGAAAGCGUGGGGAUCAAACAGGAUUAGANNNNNGGUANNCCACGCCGUAAACGAUGAAUGCUAGCUGUUAGCGAUAUACUGUUAGCGGCACAGAGAAAUCGUUAAGCAUUCCACCUGGGGAGUACGCCGGCAACGGUGAAACUCAAAGGAAUUGACGGGGGCCCGCACAAGCGGAGGAACAUGUGGUUUAAUUCGAUGAUACGCGAGGAACCUUACCUGGGCUUAAAUUGCAGUGGAAUAACGUGGAAACAUGUUAGCCUUCGGGCCGCUGUGAAGGUGCUGCAUGGUUGUCGUCAGCUCGUGCCGUGAGGUGUCGGCUUAAGUGCCAUAACGAGCGCAACCCUCAUCGAUAGUUACUAACAGGUUAAGCUGAGGACUCUAUCGAGACUGCCGACGUAAGUCGUGAGGAAGGUGGGGAUGACGUCAAAUCAGCACGGCCCUUACGUCCAGGGCUACACACGUGUUACAAUGGGGGGUACAAAGGGCAGCUACCUGGCGACAGGAUGCUAAUCUCAAAAACCUCUCUCAGUUCGGAUUGGAGUCUGCAACCCGACUCCAUGAAGCUGGAUUCGCUAGUAAUCGCGCAUCAGCCACGGCGCGGUGAAUACGUUCCCGGGCCUUGUACACACCGCCCGUCAAGCCAUGGAAGCUGGGGGUACCUGAAGUAUGCAACCGCAAGGAGCGUCCUAGGGUAAAACCGGUAACUGGGGCU